rnacentral:tRNA from 3 species
GCGGAGAUGGCGAAAUUGGUAGACGCGCUAGCUUCAGGCGCUAGUGAGGCAACUCAUGUGGGUUCGAGUCCCGUUCUCCGCACCA